ACCAGACCAGGACCAGACUACAGUAGACUACAGUACAGUAGACUACAGCAGAGUCCUUGGACCAGACCAGGAGUACAGUACAGUAGACUACAGCAGAGUCCUUGGACCAGACCAGGAGUAGACUACAGUAGACUACAGUACAGUAGACUACAGCAGAGUCCUUGGACCAGACCAGGAGUAGAGUACAGUAGACUACAGUACAGUAGACUACAGUAGAGUCCUUGGACCAGACCAGGAGUAGACUACAGUAGACUACAGUACAGUAGACUACAGUAGAGUCCUUGGACCAGACCAUGAGUAGACUACAGUAGACUACAGUACAGUAGACUACAGUAGAGUCCAGUAUACUACAGUAGAGUACGAUAGACUACAGUACAGUAGACUACAGUAGACUACAGUACAGUAGACUACAGUAGAGUCCAGUAUACUACAGUAGAGUACGAUAGACUACAGUACAGUAGACUACAGUAGACUGCAGUACAGUAGACUACAGUAGAGUACGAUAGACUACAGUACAGUAGACUACAGUAGACUACAGUAGAGUCCAGUAUACUACAGUAGAGUAUGAUAGACUACAGUACAGUAGACUGCAGUACAGUAGACUACAGUACAGUAGACUACAAUAGACUACAGUACAGUAGACUACAGUAGACUGCAGUAGAGUCCAGUAUACUACAGUAGAGUACGAUACACUACAGUACAGUAGACUACAGUAGACGACAGUACAGUAGACUACAUUAGACUACAGUAAACUACAGUAGAGUACAGUUAGGUACAGUAAUGACCUGUGAAAAAUAGGCAAAGUAAUGGUGAACUUAAUUGCUUUUAUUUGGCCCUGUAGCUGAGGUCUAUCUACCUGUAGUUGAGGUGUGUCUACCUGUAGCUGAGGUCAAUCUACCUGUAGAUGAGGUCUAUCUACCUGUAGCUGAGGUGUGUCUACCUGUAGCUGAGGUCUAUCUACCUGUAGAUGAGGUGUGUCUACCUGUAGAUGUAGUCUAUCUACCUAUAGAUGAGGUGUAUCUACCUGUAGCUGAGGUCAAUCUACCUGUAGCUGAGGUCUAUCUACCUGUAGAUGAGGUGUAUCUACCUGUAGCUAAGGUGUAUCUACCUGUAGAUGAGGUGUGUCUACCUGUAGCUGAGGUCAAUCUACCUGUAGCUGAGGUGUAUCUACCUGUAGCUGAGGUGUAUCCAGGUUAGAUCAGACUGAAGCAGGCUAACUGGACCACACCAGACUGCACAUCUCUGCUGGAGGAAAGCCUCUCUGCUGAGAGUGGUGGACAUAUGAAUGUGAAUACUGGAGGCAUCAUUAAAAAACGCCACCCUAUUCCCUAUAUAGUGCACUACUUUUGACCAGAGCCCUAUGGAACCCUAUUCCCUAUAUAGUGCACUACUUUUGACCAGAGCCCUAUGGAACCCUAUUCCCUAUAUAGUGCACUACUUUUGACCAGAGCCCUAUGGAACCCUAUUCCCUAUAUAGUGCACUACUUUUGACCAGAGCCUUAUGGAACCCUAUUCCCUAUAUAGUGCACUACUUUUGACCAGAGCCAUAUUCCCUAAGGGCCCUGGUCAAAUGUAGGCCACUGUAAACGAAUAGGUUGGCGUUUAGGACGCAGGCCCUGUCUGCCUGUCAGGCUCCUGUAAUGAUGGGCUGUCGAUAAUGGGAAUAACAGUGGAUCUGCGUGUUAGCCCUGAUCUGACCUCUGACCCUGAUCUCUUUAACUAAAUUCAAACGCUUUCUGCUUUUGGCAACAGAAGAGGAGAGCUUAGUUUUGGUGUCCUCUUGGCCCUUCUGGGUUAGAUCACUCUCCACUGUCCUCUCCUCCUGUCCUUGAUACUGUCCCUCUGCCCUGUUCUCUCCUCCUGUCCUCUCCUCCUGUCCUUGAUACUGUCCCUCUGCCCUGUUCUCUCCUCCUGUCCUCUCCUCCUGUCCUUGAUACUGUCCCUCUGCCCUGUUCUCUCCUCCUGUCCUCUCCUCCUGUCCUUGAUACUGUCCCUCUGCCCUGUUCUCUCCUCCUGUCCUCUCCUCCUGUCCUUGAUACUGUCCCUCUGCCCUGUUCUCUCCUCCUGUCCUGUCCUCUCGUCCUGAGCAGAGUUAAAUGUCUCUACUCUCUUUAGCUUUGUAGUUUUACAGAUCAGCCAUGUAUCCAUCUGGGAUCAAACCAAAAAAAGAGAGAUAAUAAAGCGACAUGUUAUUUACACCUGGCAUGAGAUGACACUGAGUUGUGCUUCCCUUGGAAGUGCUGUGUCCUCAGAGAACGGGAGAAGGACCCGGUGUGAAUUAUUUCAUAGAACUAGAAUGAGAAAUAGAAACAAUUCCUUAUAAUUCUAUGGGUUCUGUGGAUUUCAGGUCCAGGCCAGGUGCUGUGUGUCUGUCUGUCUGUCGGUCUGUCUGGUGCUGCCGUGGUGUAGCCUUAACAUUCCAAGGAGGGUCAUGUGACCUCCUGAGUAGCAUUAUGGGUAAUUAUUAGCACUGUGUCUGUGUCAUCCAACCUCAGCCGAAGUGAUGUCUCGUAAUCUCCAGGGGAAAAGUAAAAACAAAACAAACAUGAUUUAGUUUAAGUUUAUUACAACGCAAGGCAAGAGAUGGUGUUACUUAACAGUUACUGUACCUUAUGUAAAACAACUGCAAACCCUUCCAAAAAAAAAAAGAAAAAGAUUUUGAAGUUUACAGUCUUAACAGAAACCAACUAUUCAGGUCUCUAUAUAUCUUAAAGGCUUUUUUGGAAGAAGAAGAAGAAAAGAAACAACUUAUUUUUGGUAAUUUGUUAUUUUUUAUGAAAGAGAAAAACGAAUCUGAAACCUCACUGGGUUUUUGUACCACUAUAAUCAUACAAGAAAUCAUGAGAGAGCUAAACAUCAUAUUUACUCUGUAUCCACUUCAGUUGUUAUUACGUGCCUUCUAAUCUAAUGUUUUAGACAGCGUCUGAAAUGGCUCCCUAGCCCCUAUGUGGUACACCCUUACUACUUUACAGUAGUGCACUAUUAGAGAAUAAGGGUGCAAUUUCAGACACAGACAAUAUCUUAUGUACUAUCUAGUGGGAUUGGUGAGAGGGUUGAUUUAAUUCACUUGUUUGUUUUUUUCAUGUAGAGAAAUGUAGACGUGUUUCUUCAUGAGGGGGACGGGUCCAUUGUAUUAUAUGGUUUCUGAUGUGGAAGUUAAUGCUUGGUUCUUUGAUUGCACUUCUUAAGAGAAAACUGAAAUAACACAGUGUGUACUGUGGGCCUCUCCAUCCCUCUGUGUGUGUGUGUGUGUGUACUGUGGGCCUCUCCAUCCCUCUGUGUGUGUGUGUAGUGUGUGUGUGUAUGUGUGUAGUGUGUGUAUGUGUGUGUGUGUGUGUGUAGUGUGUGUGUGUGUGUAUGUGUGUAGUGUGUUGGUGUGUGUGUAGUGUAGUGGUGUGUGUGUGUAGUGUAGUGGUGUGUGUGUGUGUGUUAGUGUGUGUGUGUGUGUAUGUGUGUAGUGUAGUGGUGUGUGUGUAGUGUAGUGGUGUGUGUGUAGUGUAGUGGUGUGUGUUUGGUAGUUGUGUGUGUAGUGUGUGUGUGUAGUGUGUGUGUGUGUGUAGUGUGUGUGUGUGUGUAGUGUGUGUGUGUGUGUGUAGUGUGUGUGUGUGUGUGUAGUGUGUGUUGUGUGUGUGUGUAGUGUGUGUGUGUGUGUGUGUGUGUGUGUGUGUGUGUGUAG
ensembl:lncRNA